AUUGAACGCUGGCGGCAGGCCUAACACAUGCAAGUCGAGCGGAGCGGCGGACGGGUGAGUAAUGCCUAGGAAUCUGCCUGGUCGUGGGGGAUAACGUCCGGAAACGGGCGCUAAUACCGCAUACUAUCAGAUGAGCCUAGGUCGGAUUAGCUAGGUGGUGGGGUAAAGGCCUACCAAGGCGACGAUCCGUAACUGGUCUGAGAGGAUGAUCAGUCAACCUGGAACGGAGACACGGUCCAGACGCCGACGGGAGGCAGCAGUGGGGAAUAGUGGACAAGGGGCGAAAGCCUGAUCCAGCCAUGCCGCGGGUGAGAAGAAGGUCUUCGGAUUGUAAAGCAAUUUAAGUUGGGAGGCGUUACCAACAGAAUAAGCACCGGCUAACUCCGUGCCAGCCGCCGCGGUAAUUC
rnacentral:rRNA from 1 species